GGAAUCUUCCGCAAUGGGCGAAAGCCUGACGGAGCAACGCCGCGUGAGUGAUGAAGGUUUUCGGAUCGUAAAGCUCUGUUGCCAGGGAAGAACGUCUUGUAGAGUAACUGCUACAAGAGUGACGGUACCUGAGAAGAAAGCCCCGGCUAACUACGUGCCAGCAGCCGCGGUAAUACGUAGGGGGCAAGCGUUGUCCGGAAUUAUUGGGCGUAAAGCGCGCGCAGGCGGCUCUUUAAGUCUGGUGUUUAAUCCCGAGGCUCAACUUCGGGUCGCACUGGAAACGGGAGAGCUUGAGUGCAGAAGAGGAGAGUGGAAUUCCACGUGUAGCGGUGAAAUGCGUAGAGAUGUGGAGGAACACCAGUGGCGAAGGCGACUCUCUGGGCUGUAACUGACGCUGAGGCGCGAAAGCGUGGGGAGCAAACAGGA
rnacentral:misc_RNA from 1 species